GAUGAAGAACGUAGCGAAAUGCGAUAAGUAAUGUGAAUUGCAGAAUUCAGUGAAUCAUCGAAUCUUUGAACGCUCAUUGCGGCCCUUGGUAUUCCGAGGGGCAUGCCUGUUCGAGCGUCAUAUUAACCACUCCCGCUUGCGGGGUCUUGGGCUUCGCCUCCGGGCGGGCCUUAAAAUCAGUGGCGGUGCCGUCGGGCUCUACGCGUAGUAAAUUUUCUCGCGAUAGGGUCCCGGUGGAUGCUUGCCAACAACCCCCAACUUCUUAAGGUUGACCUCGGAUCAGGUAGGGAUACCCGCUGAACUUAAGCAUAUCAAUAAGCGGAGGA
rnacentral:misc_RNA from 1 species